UAAAGCAGCCAUAUCACCCUGCAACUCACAACUGGCAACCCACUGAAGCUCAGCAGGUGUGAGCCUGGUCAGUACCUGGAUGGGAGACCUCCUGGGAAAAACUAAGGUUGCUGCUGGAA
ensembl:rRNA 5S_rRNA 5S ribosomal RNA